rnacentral:rRNA from 1 species
CUGGGCUCGAAGCGCAGUGGAAUGAGGUGGAAACAUCUCAGCCCGCAAGGGCCGCUGCGGAGGUGCUGCAUGGCUGUCGUCAGCUCGUGUCGUGAGAUGUUGGGUUAAGUCCCGCAACGAGCGCAACCCUUAUCGUCAGUUGCCAUCGGGUCAAGCCGGGCACUCUGGCGAAGCCGCCUCGGAUAACGGGGAGGAAGGUGGGGAUGACGUCAAGUCCUCAUGGCCUUUAUGUCCAGGGCUACACACGUGCUACAAUGGUCGGUACAAACCGUCGCAAACCCGCGAGGGGGAGCUAAUCGGAAAAAGCCGGCCUCAGUUCGGAUUGGAGUCUGCAACUCGACUGCGUGAAGCUGGAAUCCUUAGUAAUCGCGGAUCAUCAUGCCGCGGUGAAUACGUUCCC